rnacentral:rRNA from 1 species
UAACACGUAGGUAAUGUAUCUUUGGGUGGGGAAUAACCAUCGGAAACGAUGGCUAAUACCGCAUAAUGCAGCGGCAUCGCAAGAUGACAGUUGUUAAAGAUUUAUCGCCUAAAGAGCAGCCUGCGGCAGAUUAGCUAGUUGGUAAGGUAACGGCUUACCAAGGCUACGAUCUGUAUCCGACCUGAGAGGGUGGUCGGACACACUGACACUGAAUAACGGGUCAG